GACGAACGCUGGCGGCGUGCUUAACACAUGCAAGUCGUGCGGAAAGGCCCUUUGGGGUGCUCGAGCGGCGAACGGGUGAGUAACACGUGAGUAAUCUGCCCUGCACUUUGGGAUAACUGCCGGAAACGGUGGCUAAUACUGGAUAGGACUGCAUCCUGCAUGGGGUGUGGUGGAAAGCCUUUGGGUGGUGUGGGAUGUGCUCGCGGCCUAUCAGCUUGAUGGUGGGGUAGUGGCCUACCAUGGCUUUGACGGGUAGCCGGCCUGAGAGGGUGACCGGUCACACUGGGACUGAGACACGGCCCAGACUCCUGCGGGAGGCAGCAGUGGGGAAUAUUGGACAAUGGGCGGAAGCCUGAUCCAGCAACGCCGCGUGAGGGAUGACGGCCUCGGUUGGUAACCUACUUCGCUCAUGACGAAGAC
rnacentral:rRNA from 1 species